UACGUAGGGGGCAAGCGUUAUCCGGAAUUACUGGGUGUAAAGGGAGCGCAGGCGGGAAGACAAGUUGGAAGUGAAAACCAUGGGCUCAACCCAUGAAUUGCUUUCAAAACUGUUUUUCUUGAGUAGUGCAGAGGUAGAUGGAAUUCCCGGUGUAGCGGUGGAAUGCGUAGAUAUCGGGAGGAACACCAGUGGCGAAGGCGGUCUACUGGGCACCAACUGACGCUGAGGCUCGAAAGCAUGGGUAGCAAACAGG
rnacentral:rRNA from 1 species